CCGGCACGGGUGAGUAACACGUAUCCAACCUGCCGUCUACUCUUGGACAGCCUUCUGAAAGGAAGAUUAAUACAAGAUGGCAUCAUGAGUCCGCAUGUUCACAUGAUUAAAGGUAUUCCGGUAGACGAUGGGGAUGCGUUCCAUUAGAUAGUAGGCGGGGUAACGGCCCACCUAGUCUUCGAUGGAUAGGGGUUCUGAGAGGAAGGUCCCCCACAUUGGAACUGAGACACGGUCCAA
rnacentral:rRNA from 1 species